ACAGGAGAAGCCACAGCUCUAUAGGUGACACAGGAGAGGCCACAGAUGUAUGUCACAGUCCUAUAGGUGACACAGGAGAAGCCACAGCUCUAUAGGUGACACAGGAGAGGCCGCAGACGUAUGUCACAAGUCCUAUAGGAGACACAGGAGAAGCCACAGCUCUAUAGGAGACACAGGAGAAGCCACAGCUCUAUAGGUGACACAGGAGAGGCCGCAGAUGUAUGUCACAAGUCCUAUAGGAGACACAGGAGAAGCCACAGCUCUAUAGGUGACACAGGAGAGGCCGCAGAUGUAUGUCACAAGCCCUAUAGGAGACACAGGAGAAGCCACAGCUCUAUAGGUGACACAGGAGAGGCCGCAGACGUAUGUCACAAGCCCUAUAGGAGACACAGGAGAAGCCACAGCUCUAUAGGUGACACUGGAGAAGCCACAGCUCUAUAGGUGACACAGGAGAGGCCGCAGAUGUAUGUCACAAGUCCUAUAGGUGACACAGGAGAAGCCACAGCUCUAUAGGUGACACAGGAGAGGCCACAGAUGUAUGUCACAAGCCCUAUAGGAGACACAGGAGAAGCCACAGCUCUAUAGGUGACACUGGAGAAGCCACAGCUCUAUAGGUGACACAGGAGAGGCCGCAGAUGUAUGUCACAAGCCCUAUAGGUGACACAGGAGAAGCCACAGCUCUAUAGGUGACACAGGAGAGGCCACAGAUGUAUGUCACAAGCCCUAUAGGAGACACAGGAGAAGCCACAGCUCUAUAGGUGACACAGGAGAGGCCGCAGACGUAUGUCACAAGCCCUAUAGGAGACAGCAGACAGUCCACAGCUCUAUAGGUGACACAGGAGGCUCCCCAGUCCUAUAGGCGACAGCAGAGGCUCCCCGGAUGUACGUGCCCACCCUAUAGGA